CAGGCGUAGGUCCCUCCAACUUGUCACUAUAUAUCACCAGUAUUCUGCUCCUUAUUCCUCUUAGCACCGAUAUAGUUCAAUGCCACACGUUUAGAAUCACUUCUUCACUAUCCUAUUCACUAUUUGUUAUGAUCUUCACUAUCACAUCUAGUUUGAUAGUGUGUGUGGGG